AGUCCUCUACUACUCAAUGGGAAUGGCACAUGCCAGAGCCUUAUACUUGGAUAUAAAAGACUUAUAUUUGCAAAGAAAAGCCUUAUAUUUGUAUAUAAGUACAAGGCUUUGGCCCAUGCCAAAAGCAAAGCACAGCUUGUCUGAGUCGUGUCCAGCAGCUCCACAUUUGAACUCCAACAAUGGGGCCUAAAAAGACUCUGAGAGUCCUUAAAAGGAAAAUAAUUGAAUAGCCAUGCGUUGGAGAACAAACCUGGGUUCUAAAUUUGUCAUUUUUGUGCUGCUUAUUAAGACAAAGCUGUUCCCUUAGAGGAAAGAAACUCUGAACAGUUUCUGCAUUAUGGCAGGUAGGUACAGUUAGUGCUAUUAAUCUCUGGCAGGCCUCAUUGGGCAUGUGGGCCCGGCAGCCUCUCCUGCCUGUGGAGGAAGAAGGCUUAGCGUAUUUCAUUGUUGUAUUUUCCAUACAUAUCCUCAUCCUUGUCAAGGCAAUAACAAAUGUGUCUUGAUAAGGGUCUGAAAGUAGUGACGAGGAGUGAGUGAUCGGGCAGCGAGGCGCUCUGUGCUUUUUGGGUUUUGACAAAGUAUUUCAGGGAGCUGUCAUUGGAUGGAAGAAGGAAGCAGCAGAGCCGAGUAGAGGCCAGGGAAUGAUCUAUCUGUAGCAUUCCAAUCAUAGAACGGAAUAACUUUGUACUUGACAUUUAACUGGGUCAGCUGCUGGUUUGUGGAGGGAUUUAUUUUCUGAAGUUGGUUUUGGAUGGUUCCAUGUCAGUCAGUACUCUCUCUGUCUGUUGCUGGAUCUGAACAUUGAAUUAUUUGGAUAGUUUGGGUGGAUUGGGGGUGAUUUUGUGGAUGACAUUAUUGUAAGCAGUUUAUCGGCCAUGAACAGAAUACUAUAAAGGGAACAGUUAAUUUAAGGAAACCGUUUCCUCAACCCAUUGUCUUAUUAUACCUUAUUUCCCGUUGGAUCUACAAGCCCUCUGUAAUGGUUAUAUGGUUACUUCUUAUCUAGGCCUAUACAGUGCGGUACUGUAUGUAUGCACUAUGACCACUAUUCACUCUUGCCUGCAUGCUUAUUAGGCCAUCUCACCACCUCAAUAAGAAAUGCAUUGGUCAUACUGACAUUGUCAUUUGUGUUGUUUCCCAGUGCAGGCAUGUGUGGCACAUUUUAAACGCAUGAAAGCCAUUGAGGGCAUUGCAAAAACAGAGUUUCUAUCCAAACCCAAAUUGUUUAAAUGGUUAAAUAAUUUAACAGUGCACCAGAGAGGUAUAUAGCCAGAUGUGCCCAGGCUUUUCUGAAAUGAGCUAGCUUCACAUUCCAGCUCAGGCUUCAUCCGUAUUACGACGGUGGAUAUUGCUCAUUCGCCUGCCGCUAACUCUAGCAGGCUUGUAACUGCGUGUGCAUAUCGCACGCAGUGUUGCCAACUCCUCAGUAAGAAAAGUAGCUAUUGGCUGUCCUAAAAUUCGCUAGAAGUCGCUAAAUGACAUCAUCGCCUAAUUUGCAUAAUUGGCCAUGUGCAUGUAAUUGUGAUGGACGCUGAGGCGAGAGGAAUAAGGUCGUGGGAGAGACAAAAAGCAUUUUUGGACGCCGAUUACAUUGCAAACCACGAGGAGACUACGUGGCAGGCUGUGACCACCUGUUACGCGAGUGCAGCAAGGAGCCAAGGAAGAGAAUGGAGCACCAUGUUGAGGAUGGAUUAAGCUACUUCCUGUUGCCGCAGUAAGCUCAACCUCAACACAGGAGAGCAUCCCUGUAAGGUCAUGAUGGGUUGUGUGGAAGGACGGUUAGCUAGCUCAGUUGCAGUCCACGGUUAUGUGAGGGCUGUAGGUAAUGAUUUUAUAUGGAAGAAAGGCCUUGUUCUCUGUGGGACCUAGUUUUCACUGUGAAGAGUUGAAAUUGGUUGACACUCAUGUCCCAUUGAUUGGAAAUGUAUUGACAUAAGGAUCAAGCCUGUGACCCUCAUUUUUUCCCAUUGAAUGAAAUGGAUUGACGGAAGUGUCAAUUGGUUGAAACUCAUAUUUUCUCAUUGAAUGCAAUGUAUUGACAUAAGCAUCAACCCUGUGACAUCUUUUCCCAUUGAAUGCAGUGAAUUGACAUAGGCGUCAAUUGGGUGACACUUACCUUUUCGCAUUGACUGCGGUGCAUUGACGUAAGCGUCAACCUUGUGACGCUCUUCUUUUCCCGUUGAAUGCAGUGUGGGGAAAUGUUCUGAAUGGACAUAUGGGUACAGGAAGAAUCAGCAAACUCACUCACGCACACCCCUGUAAAUGCACCCGUCAAUCAAAACCGCCAGCGUGUUUCAGACACAAGCAAAUAUUUCUCCUUUCCUUAAAAUGUGUUUUAAAACAAUCUAGGCCUACCUUUUGUUUUCAAGAAAGUAGGCUACAAUAUAAUGAGUUGACAAGUAAGGUAUGACGGGGAUGGUUUAUACUAUGAAGAUUAAAUUGACUAUCAUUCAAAUAGAACCAAGUAAAAGCAACAUGUCCAUAGCCUAUUUAUCAGUGAAGCUGAUUACUGAGGGGGGGUGUAGGAAAGAUUGUUCAAGUACUGUGAGAUAUAUAUAUAUAUAACGGACUUUGUUGACUUACUGCACCAUGUGACGCGAAGAAAAUAAAUGACUGAGAAGCCUGGCUUAUUAGCCCAACCACAUG